GACGAACGCUGGCGGCGUGCUUAACACAUGCAAGUCGAACGAAAAGGCCCUGCUCUUGUGCGUUGCUCGAUUGUCGAUCGGGUGAGUAACACGUGAGUAACCCCCCCUUGACAUUGGGAUAACUUCAGGAAACUGCGGCUAUUAUCCGAUAGGAUCUCCUGCUGCAUAUUGUGGGUUGGAAAGUUUCGGCGGUUUGGUCUCGACUCGCGGCUUGCCAGCUUGUUGGGGGGGUAGUUGCUGACGAAGGCUUAGACGGGUAGCCGGCCUGAGAGGGUGACCGGCAACAUAGGGACUGAGAUCCGGACCAGACUCCUACGGGAGGCAGCAGUGGGGAAUAUUGCACAAUAGGCGGAAGCCUGAUGCAGCAACGCCGCGUGCAGGAUGACGGGCUUCGGGUUGUAAACCGCUUUGGCCGGUGACGAAGCGUGAGUGACGGUGAUGGGUAAAGAAGCACCGGCUAACUACGUG
rnacentral:rRNA from 1 species